rnacentral:SRP_RNA from 1 species
UCGUGCUAGACGGGGAACUAGCGGUGCCCUCGACCCGCAAUCCGCUACAGCGGGGUCGAAUUCCCGCCCGCGGUCUGGCUGUUUGAGUAGUACUGCAGUAAGCGGCGUUGAUAGUCGGGCCCCGCGCAAUGCUCGGCGUAUGAACCCCGUCAGGUCCGGAAGGAAGCAGCGGUAAAUGCGUACGUGCAUGUGCCGCGUGGUGAUCUGGCUGGAGUUGGCUGCUGGAGCAACGCUCGGGCGACCUUAUCAGAGGCAGGUGCACGA